UAAAACGACUCUCGGCAACGGAUAUCUCGGCUCUCGCAUCGAUGAAGAACGUAGCGAAAUGCGAUACUUGGUGUGAAUUGCAGAAUCCCGUGAACCAUCGAGUCUUUGAACGCAAGUUGCGCCCGAAGCCUUCGGGCCGAGGGCACGUCUGCCUGGGCGUCACGCA
rnacentral:rRNA from 1 species